AUAUCAGUAAGCAGAGGAAAAGAAACCAACAGGGAUUUCCCGAGUAACUGCGAGUGAAAAGGGAUGAGCUCAGCGCAAAAGAAGACUUCGUAGUGGAGUUUUCGGUGUUGCGUUUGGAGGGUCCGAUUUGGGGUGGUUGUGCGGUCUAAAUUUCGCUGGAACGCGGUUGCACAGAUGGUUUUACACCAGUUUGGCCACACUUCCCCUCAAAGUGGACACUUCCGGGAGUCGGGUUGUUUGGAAACGCAGCCCAAAGCGGGUGGUAAACUUCACCUAAAGCUAAAUACGGCUACGAGACCGAUAGCAAACAAGUACUGUGAAGGAAAGUUGAAAAGCACUUUGAAAAGAGAGUGCAAGAGAACGUGAAACCGUUAUAGUGGAAACGGAUAGAGUUGACGUAUCUAGUGCGUAUUCAGCCGCUUUUCGGGGCAAUUUGUGUGUCCGGAAUUUCGUAAGAUUUCCGAUGUGCAUUGUUGUUUCGAGAAGCGGUGCAUUUGCGUACAGAGUGCGCCGAAUCGGCCGAGCCCGCUGUUUGAUAGUCACGAAGAGGACUGCCUCAGGUAGAAACCCGAGUGACUGGAUGGCAGAUGGACUUGACCGU
rnacentral:rRNA from 1 species